CACUGAGUCUGCGUGAGGGCCGCCAUUGGCUGCUGGGCGCAUGCCUUGGCGGUUGUUGGCGACACCUGUGGCUGUCCAACAUGACCUUUAUUAACUCCAUCCCAGGUCUGGGCCUGCCUGGGAGAGAUGGAGCCUAAAGUAGCCACGGGGUCCAAACCGCGCUUCCAGGAGGGCAUGCGGGGGUGCUGUGCUGUCACGGGCCGCUGCCAUAUGAGACCAAGUGUGCCUGAAUCACUUCAGAGGAAGCAACAGAAAUUUCGAACCAGGAGACAACUCAGAUCCAGCAUGGAAAAAAGAGCAUCCCAAGUAGGGGAAGGUCAGGGAAGAUGGAGAAUUCCAGGAAGGAACAGAGAAGAGCUGAAGAGAAAACUGCCAGAUCACCUCACUAGUCUUUGGGAGUGCUCCUGGAGUGGUUGGUCUGAGAGAAACCUCUGAGACAGAAGACCUUUCUGAGCAUUGAUCACCUCUCAGUGAACCCCAAACCCCUUGGAUCAAGCUGAAGAUAAGGGAGUGGAAUGGGAAUUUGUUGGGAAGCCAUUCAAAGAAGAAUUCUAUCCAUUCCAUGAAUUUGUCCUUUGAACUUCAUGCUACAAUUAGGCUAGAUAGAAGUCAACAGAUCUCACAGCUGACCAAGGCGGGUCAGGCAGAUAACCUGAGCCCUCAGGAUUUGGGGAGGGGGGGGGGUUAGUUGUUAGCUCAUAGGGAUCUCCCAUUUCCCAUUUUACUUAUCCAACAACCCCACUCUCCCUGUCUUGUGUAUCCCUUUAGAAUAAAAAAAAAAUUAUUCCUCA
rnacentral:lncRNA from 1 species